CGAUUCGUUCGCCGAUCUCUCUGCUUCUUCUUGUAAUACAAACUCCUCUGCUUUGGUCUGUUCUGCUCCGAUACAGGAAACUAAAGAAUAGAUUGGAUUUGCCGACGCCGGAAUCCAAUCUAAUCGCCGCCGGGUCGGAUCGAAUUCGGUCGCCUGUGAUUUAUGAAUGGGAAGACCUCGGGCUCGGAGACAUGGACAAGAAGAGAUCCGGUGAGCUGAUGUCAUGGUUUGAGUCGCCGGAGAUCAGUUGCAGAGAGAGAGGCCGUCGUCCAAGUUAGGGG
rnacentral:lncRNA from 1 species